ACGGGAGGCAGCAGUGGGGAAUAUUGCACAAUGGGCGAAAGCCUGAUGCAGCGACGCCGCGUGAGUGAAGAAGUUAUUCGUAACGUAAAGCUCUAUCAGCAGGGAAGAAAAUGACGGUACCUGACUAAGAAGCCCCGGCUAACUACGUGCCAGCAGCCGCGGUAAUACGUAGGGGGCAAGCGUUAUCCGGAUUUACUGGGUGUAAAGGGAGCGUAGACGGCAUGGCAAGUCUGAAGUGAAAUCCCGGGGCUCAACCCUGGAACUGCUUUGGAACUGUCAAGCUAGAGUAUCGGAGAGGUAAGUGGAAUUCCUAGUGUAGCGGUGAAAUGCGUAGAUAUUAGGAGGAACACCAGUGGCGAAGGCGGCUUACUGGACGAUAACUGACGUUGAGGCUCGAAAGCGUGGGGAGCAAACAGGAUUAGAUACCCUGGUA
rnacentral:rRNA from 1 species